CCAACUUUUAUCCUAUCCUGCUACUCUGCAGCGCGGUGCUUGGUGUCCUCCUGAUUGUGCUGUUAACUUGCUGCAUCUGUUGCAUAUUGAGGAAACGUAGAAAUACCAAAGGCAAACACAUCAGACAAACCCUAUGAGAAUGAUCUUUGACAAUCUCAACCACACCGAUCAUCAGAAGUGGACACAGGCCAAAGGACUCUUAAAAACCACUCACAAACUGGGUUUUUACCAUCUUUUUUAAAUUUUAAAAAAAAAAGAUUUUAUUGGCUCUAGUGACCUUUAUUUGACAGUGAAUUGACAGGAAAGAGGGUAAUGAGAGAAGGGGGAAGACAUGCAGCAAAGAUCGCCAGGCCGGGAAUCGAAUCUGUGACAGCCUCGUCAAGGACUAAGGCCUCCAUAUAUGUGGGUUGUGCUUAACCCCUGCGCCACCACAGCAUCUUAGGAAAGUUUUUCCUCUGGAUUGUUAGUGUCUAAACCACCGUAAACCAUCAUUGGUAUCCUUAAAAGUUAGACGUAGCAACUAGAACAUUGUAGUUUAAGUACUUUUCUAUGUCUGAAACAUGUAUUAUUUUCCCAUGUUUGUUACUGUUUAAUGUAAAUUGAUUAAAUGUUAUAUUUUACAAAGAAUACAUUCUUGUCAGUUCUGUUGGCUUAUAAACUUAUCAUAAACAUAUGGCAUGCUUCUGUUUAUUCCAUCUAACAUCCAAUACUUACACUUUACUGAGCACUUUACUGUAAUAAAGAACCUUUACUAAGUUUCUUGAUUACAAUUUAAUCAAGAAACUUUGUUUGCUGCAUCUCAAUCAACAAACUUUAAACCUUUGCCACACAAACUCAGUUUCAGGAAUCUUUAAGUUGGUUUCCAUCCCAGAUAUGUAAUCCUGUUUAAGUCUGACAUUGAGGGUAGAAUUAAUAAAUUAGAUUAAAUCCAACAUAGUUAUAUUCUACGCUGGUUUACCCUUGCCCAAACCAGCUGCUGAACUUUAUUGGUUGGGCCAAAGUUUAAACGCAGUGAAACUAAGUUGUGCACAUCCUCAAAACCCCUUAUAGUAACCCACACGAACUGUUUUAUCUAUAAUGAGGAACUGAGCAGAGAUCUAAACAUUAGCUUAUUUUUCUUCACACCUUUUUUCUAGUUUAUUGAUUCUUAACUUGUUGGCCUACAUCACCUCAAAUCAACAUACUGUUGAAAUUAAAUACGCCCUUCAACAUCAGUUGUUGUAAAUAGUGUGUUUACUCUACCUUCCUACUCUAUCCUUAAGGCUCAUGCUUACAUUCUACUUUAAUGACAAAAUGUAUUCUAUUACUUAAUUUAUCAUAAAUUAGCAGUUUUAAACCAAUGAUUUCUAAAACCCAUGUGUUUCCAAAGCCUAAUUAUGCAAUGGGAUUGGAAAAGCUCAGGCUUUGUGAAUGUGUUUGAUUUUAUGUUGUGGUGCUUCUUUCCCCCACUGCGCAUUGAAUAGUCAAAAGUUAAUGUGAAUCUACAAUAAUAAGAAUAAUUUUGAAUGUGAAACAUCCAGACGGUGACUGAGAGGAAAAAGAGAAUGGGGGGGGCAGGGGGGAAAUCCUGUGUGUUGACAUGUUUACUUUGUUUCACUUCUGUCACCUCAUGUCAAAAUAACCUCAAGCUUCCUUUUAUCAUUUGUUGUGACUAAAACAUGGAGCUUUCGAUAUUGACCCUUUUAGUGCCACAGUUUACUUAAUUUCUGUCUAUACUAUUAUAGGUUGAGUCAGCUUGAGGUAAUUGUUGUGCUGCAGUACGGUUAAUUUUCUUUGUUUCAUUUUGAUAUUGUUUUUUUUUUUUUUGUUUAGUUCAUUUUAAUUUCUGUCUUCUGUCCUUGUAUGAUUGGGAGUGUUGGGAAGUAAAAAAGUGGAAAAUAUUCUGUAUGAGUUGGCUGCCUUAAGUGUUUUGAUCCACAUGUAAUGACUGCUGCAAAUGGAUCUGUCUCCUAUAGAUCUAUGUUAAGCACACACACUAAAUAAAAGACUGUCAUCUUCUUGUC